rnacentral:rRNA from 1 species
AGUGAACGCUGGCGGUAGGCCUAACACAUGCAAGUCGAACGGCAGCACAGUAAGAGCUUGCUCUUACGGGUGGCGAGUGGCGGACGGGUGAGGAAUACAUCGGAAUCUACUUUUUCGUGGGGGAUAACGUAGGGAAACUUACGCUAAUACCGCAUACGACCUACGGGUGAAAGCAGGGGAUCUUCGGACCUUGCGCGAUUCAAUGAGCCGAUGUCGGAUUAGCUGGUUGGCGGGGUAAAGGCCCACCAAGGCGACGAUCCGUAGCUGGUCUGAGAGGAUGAUCAGCCACACUGGAACUGAGACACGGUCCAGACUCCUACGGGAGGCAGCAGUGGGGAAUAUUGGACAAUGGGCGCAAGCCUGAUCCAGCCAUACCGCGUGGGUGAAGAAGGUCUUCGGGUUGUAAAGCCCUUUUGUUGGGAAAGAAAAGCAGCAGGUUAAUACCCCGCUGUUCUGACGGUACCCAAAGAAUAAGCACCGGCUAACUUCGUG